UACGAAGGGGGCUAGCGUUGCUCGGAAUCACUGGGCGUAAAGCGCACGUAGGCGGAUUGCUAAGUCAGGGGUGAAAUCCUGGAGCUCAACUCCAGAACUGCCUUUGAUACUGGCGACCUUGAGUCCGGGAGAGGUGAGUGGAACUGCGAGUGUAGAGGUGAAAUUCGUAGAUAUUCGCAAGAACACCAGUGGCGAAGGCGGCUCACUGGCCCGGUACUGACGCUGAGGCGCGAAAGCGUAGGGAGCAAACAGG
rnacentral:rRNA from 1 species